rnacentral:rRNA from 1 species
AGUGAACGCUGGCGGCAGGCCUAACACAUGCAAGUCGAGCGGCAGCGCGUCCGACCACCCUCGGGUGGUCGGAUGGCGGCGAGCGGCGGACGGGUGAGGAAUGCAUCGGAAUCUGCCUCGUUGUGGGGGAUAACGUAGGGAAACUUACGCUAAUACCGCAUACGACCUACGGGUGAAAGUGGGGGACCUUCGGGCCUCACGCGAUGAGAUGAGCCGAUGCCGGAUUAGCUAGUUGGCGGGGUAAAGGCCCACCAAGGCGACGAUCCGUAGCUGGUCUGAGAGGAUGAUCCGCCACACUGGGACUGAGACACGGCCCAGACUCCUACGGGAGGCAGCAGUGGGGAAUUUUGGACAAUGGGCGCAAGCCUGAUCCAGCCAUGCCGCGUGAGUGAAGAAGGC